CGUUGUUUGUACUAGGGCAUUUUCCACCUUCGGGAGGUGGAGGUCGUAGGUUCAAAUCCUGCUACUCCGACCA
rnacentral:tRNA from 1 species